GAGAGUAUAGCUCAGUGGUAGAGUGCAUGUUUAGCAUGCAUGAGGUCCUGGGUUCAUUCCCCAGUACCUCCA
rnacentral:tRNA from 1 species